AUCCAAACCAGUUGAUGAGGAGUUCAAUAUCAUGCCUUUCCCUGGACGUCAAAAUGGUUACUUCAGUGGUGGUGAUAAAGUCCUAAACAAUCCUCCUUCACGUUCCUACUCUCCACCGGAAUCGAAAACUUUCCUUUUCGAGACUCACCACGUAUAUACAACCGAUGCCGAUGAUGUCUUUAUGGUGGAAGGAAACCUGAUUUUUCAAACCUCGUUUUACUAUGAACAAAGUAUCUCCUAUGGAAGCUCAUACGUUAUAAGGUCAAGCGACUCAAGCGACCGUGGGACACUGGACUUCGAUUUUCAAGGCUUCUGGUCUCGAACAACCGGGAAGCUUUGCAUGGUGGGAUCGAGUUAUGCUUACUCGAAAGAAGGUAAACUGCUUCAUCUUGCUGCUGUUCUUGAGAUUAAUAAUCUUCAGAGUUCAAGUAAUAUUAGGACUUUAGUCACUGGUACCAUGGAUAGCUUGAGUUCUGCUAAUGAUCCAAAUCACUUUGAGCAAAUAUCACUGCUGAUGUUUCCUCAAGUAAAUUACGCUUACACCAUGAUUUCAAAUCAGUUCAGUGAAGGGUGUCCUCGGGGAACCGAUGUCCAACCGAUGUCGUCCCUCCGCUUAUCGCGCACUCGAACUAUUUGUGAUAUGUUAGGUGGAAGCAAUGCUUUCGAAUUGGAGUAUUCUGGCAGUUGUAAUUUUUCAAAGAGUUGCAAUCCAUUUGGUGAUGGUAUUAGAUAUUUCCCUUCAGUAGUAUCAUUGCGUAUGAUUCAGUGCUCAAACGAUGGGCUAAGCUUGAGGCUUCUGAUAGAAUUUCGGAACGAUAGAUAUCAGGGAUACUAUAGCUCUCCCAAUCUCAACACUUCAUUAAUUGGAGAAGGAUCUUGGGAUGCAAAGAGUAAUCGGCUUUGUAUCAUAGCUUGCCGAAUCUAUGAUGCAUCGAGCUCCUUGGAGAAGUCUCAUGUCGGAGACUGCACGACACGGUUGAGCUUAAGAUUCCCUGCAAUCUUGUCUAUCAGAAACACAAGCACCAUCGUAGGAGAAAUUUGGAGUGUGAAGCUUAGGAAUGAAGGUGGUUUCUUUGAUAGGAUCGAGUUCCGAAAUACUGCACCUUAUGGAGGAAUUCAACUUCAAGGUUUGAAGUAUGUGUACACGGAAAUGGACGAAGUGAAGAAAUCAUGUCCAAAGAAGAAUUCUAGGACUAAAAGCAGUAGGGAACACUAUCCAGAUGGCUAUUCUGGAGACAUGAGUUUUAGUAUGUCGAUCAUCAACGGUUCCAAAGGAAGCAUCGGAUGGGGUUCUUCGAAUAUUCUUGCGGUAGAUGAUCAGCAGUAUCAGAGAUUUCCAUCUCUAUUACCAUCCUCCAGCUCAAAGCCUAAAAUUCCUGGUGUUGAAUCCGAUUCCAGCAGUGGCUUGCUUAAUGUCAGCUAUAAAAUGAGUAUCAUGCUGCGUAGUUCGGAAUUGGAUGGUGGCCUUAAUCCGGUUAACGAAUCUUCAAAUGAAUAUUUGAAAACCGAAAUCCAAAUUUCUGCUGAAGGGGUUUAUGAUACAGCAACAGGUAGCCUAUGCAUGGUUGGCUGCAGACAUUUAAGGUCAGGUGACAAAACAUUUUCAAGCCAUUCGAUGGAUUGCGAGAUCCUGGUGAAAAUCAAUUUUCCUCCAUUGAACUCGGACAGGAGAAGUAAGAUCAGAGGAAGCAUCGAAAGCACACGUGAAGAAAUCGAUCCUCUGUCCUUCAAGCCCCUGCAGUUUUCGGGAAGAGCUUAUUAUCGCAGUUGGGUUACGGAAUCAAUUUGGAGAAUGGAUUUCGAGAUGAUCGUGUCGGUCAUAUCCAACACUCUUACAAUUAUCUUUGUUGCAUUUCAAAUCUUUCAUGUGAGGAAGCACCGUGGCAUUGGUCCUGUGGUUUCACUUCUCAUGCUAGUUAUUCUAGCCCUGGGACACUUCAUCCCUUUGGUUCUAAACCUCGAAGCAAUGUUCAUUCAAAAUAGCGAGAGAUCGGUCUUGAUUAGAGGUGAAACGUGGCUCGAAAUGAACGAGGUGAUCGUUAGAGUCGUCACAAUGGUGGCUUUUCUGCUGCAAGUCCGUCUUCUGAUGCUCUCGUGGACUGCUAGAUGCUCCACUGAAAAGAAAAAGACCUUGUGGAUUGCAGAGAAAAGGGGGCUGUAUGUGUGUGUUCCGGUGUACGGAAUCGGAGCUAUUAUUGCCUUUUCGGUUAAGUCAAGGCAGAAUGUACACCGAACAGUAAGGGCCAGGCAUUCUUGGUACUACAUAGAUGAAAUCAUUUUGGGGAAUUCAAGAGCUUAUGCUGGUUUGAUACUGGAUGCCUUUCUUUUCCCUCAAAUUAUCUUCAACGUGUUCCACAACUCGAGAGAACUGGCUCUUUCUCGACUCUUUUACAUCGGAAUCACCCUUGUUCGCCUCGUACCCCAUGGAUAUGAUCUGUACAGGGCAAACAACUAUGUUGAUAUAGAUGACACAUACAUUUACGCAGAUCAUGGUGCAGAUUACUACUCAACUGCUUGGGACUUCAUUAUUAUUGUGUUGGGUAUAUUCUUUGCUGUGAUCAUACACUACCAACAGCGCCUCGGCGGUCGAUAUUUCCUUUCGAAGAGAUUCCUAGAAUCUGGGACAGAUAAGGAACCUCCAGUGGAUUCAGAAGAACAAUUGCCAUUGAAAUAUAGCACCUAGUCCAUGCCUUGUGUUACUUUUAAGUGUUCACAACUUUUACUGUUUCCAAAUAAUUAUGUAAAUUCAUCCUUUUUCUUUUAUAGCUUAAUAAGCCUAAUGUAAUAUAAAGUUAUAAAUAAAAUUGUUUUAAAAAAUAUUUUAUUUUAAAUUUUUAUUUUAGAUUAAAGUUUGGGUGAGCCUUAAAUGUGAAUAUGUACCCAAAAUGAAUAAAUUUAAAAAGUACACAGUACAAAGAAAAAAAAAAAUUUUGUGUCAGAAUCAAAUAAAAAAAUCCGAAAAAAAGAAAAAAAAAUUGGGUGUUGGCCUGUCAAUGGCCGGCACCCAGUACGCAGUACAAAGAAAAAAAUUUAUUUAUUUUUAUUUUUUUCGUAUUUUUUUAUCUGAUUCUGACACGAAAAAAAAAUAAUUUUUUUUCUUUCUACUGUGUACUGGGUGCCGGCCAUUGACAGGCCAGCACCCAAAAUUUUUUUUUAUUUUUUUUCUUAUUUUUUAUCUGAUUCUGACACAAAAAAAUAAAAUUUUUUUUCUUUGUACUGUGUACUGGGUGCCGGCUAUUGACAGGCCAGCACCCAAAAAUUUUUUUUUAAUUUUUUUCGUAUUUUUUAUCUUAUUCUGACACGAAAAAAAAUAAAAAAAAAUUUUGUACUGUGUACUGGGUGCCGGCCAUUGACAGGCCAGCACCAAAUUUUUUUUUUUGUUUUUUUUCUUUUUUGUAUAUCCGUAUUUCAGUAUUACACAAUUUUUUUAAAAAAAUACCUGGGUUCUGGCCAUUGACAAGCCAGAACCCAAAAAAAUAAUUUUUUUAAGUCUAACAUAAUGAUUAGCCAAUCAUUGGUGCAAAAAAAGAGUGGGUACUGUUCAUUUUAGGUUAUUUUGGUGAUUGUUUUUAAACUUGGGUUAUUUUUGUAAAUAUAAUAUUUUUUGGGUUAUUUGGGUAAAACAGCCUAGUUCUGUCCUGGACGGGUCAUUGGAUCUAAUUCGAAGUCUUAUCCGAAAAUUGAAAGGGUUUGAAUGAAAAUAUAAGCUCAAAAAAUAGACUUGGACAAAAUAAAAAGACUCGUUUAAAAAACGGAUCAGACCUUGGGUAAGCCUUUUUGGCCCAAUCUCGGCCCUAAUUAGCAAAAAGACAAAAAAAAAAGCCUACUAUUUUCUUACUGUUUUGAUACUAUUUUUUUUAUUAUUUUCUUACUUUUUUACUAUCAUUUCAUUAUUAUGUUACUAUUAUUUUGUUAUUAUUAUUUAGAUAUUGUAUAACUCUUAUUUUAAUAUUAAUUUUGUUACUAUUUUAGAGACAUUUGUUUGUUAAGUUACACUUAUCUUAGUAUUAUUUAAGUAUAAAUUUAUUUUUUAAAUUUAUUUUCAAUUUUUUAAGAAUCAUUUAUUUUAAUGUUUUUUAUAUUUUAGAUGUAUUAUAUUUUUAAUUUUUUAUAUAUAAAAAAUAAUAUAAAGAAAUUAAUUUGGGCGGAUCGAACUAGACUCGAGUUUUAGUAUUUUUAUCCAAGUUGGGCUUGAAAAAAAUUUAAGCCCAUUUUUCGGGUCAAAUCGAGCCCAAACAUAGCAAACGGGCCUAAAAUAAUAAUAAUUCAUUAUUGGAUUGAGGUAGAACAUGAGGCUUGACUCUCGGCUUGUUAAAAUAUAUUAUUUGGUACCCAUAUUUGAUUUCAAUGUUUGAUUUGGUAUCUGAGUUUGACUUCAAUGCUUAGUUUGAUACUUGAGUUUUUUCAUAUUAAUGCUUGAGUUUUUCUUUGUCACAUAUAAGUACCUAAAUUUUACUUCAAUGUUUAAUUUGGCACUUGAGUUUUUUCUUUUGUCCCAAUUAAGUACCUAUGAUUAUUUUACUAAGGCACACAUGUAAAAUAUUUUUUGAAGUACACGAUGUUUAGUUUGGGUACCAAAUUAAAUAUUGAAACCAAAUAUAAGCACUAAAUGGUAUAUUAACCCUUAACUUUAUCAUAUAGGGACCUAAAUUUAACAAAAAUAAAAUUAACAGUGUUAACAAUUAGACCUAAAUUCUAAAAUUUUAAAAGUAGAAAGAGUAAGGUCCUGAAAAUAAAAAUAUAGGGACUAAAUUUUAAAUUUAUGAAUCGUACAGGAUCUACAACAUAUUUUAACCCUUUGAAAAAUCAACGAUUAGACCACUUUUAGCAAAUAGCAGGAAAUUGCAUCCAUGUGCUCUAGUUUUUAAGUCAAGUCAGCUGUUGUAGGACCUGCCGACAAUAAUAAUAAUAACCACUCGUUAUUGAUUGAGGUAGAAGACGAGGCAUGACUCUAAACUUCCUUUAAUUUUAAAGUUAAUAUAUUAUUUAGUACCUAUAUUUAAUUUUAAUGUUCAAUUCGAUACCUAAAUUUUUUUCCCAAAUUGGUACCUGAUUUUUUGGGUAUUGAUACUUGAGUUUUCUUUUUCCCAUACCAGUACUCAGGUUUGACUUUAAUGUUUAAUUUAACACCUGAGUUUUUUUUGUCCCAAUUAAGUAUCUAUGUUUUUUUACUAGGCGGACAUGUCAAAUAUUUAUUGAACCACACGAUGUCGUUUAGUUUGAGUAUCGAAUUGAACAUUGAAGCCAAACUUAGGUUUCAAAUUGAAACAAAAAAAAGAUUAGGUACAAAAUUGAAAAUUCAAGCCAAAUGUAAGUACCAAAUGAUAUAUUAACCCUUAAUUUUAUCAUAUAUAUAUAUAUAUGUAAAUAUUAAUCAAAAAAAUUAAACAUUUUGGUGUUGAUUAUAUAAAUAUUCAUAUAAGACAUUCACACCAAAUGGCAUGAUUUCACCCAUAUUUCUGGUAUUGUUUAUACGUUUGAGGGUCAGUCUACAAAAAAAUACAUCAGUUUUCAAAAAUUAUUUAGUUGUUAAAUAUAAGGUUGUCUUUUGCUGUGUUCAUUUUAUAAUGUGAUUUGAUCAAAAACUUCCUUCGGAUUAAAUAUAAAAUAUUGUCAUAAUCCUCUCUUACUUUUCAAAGUCUUGCAAGGUCUUGUUCUUGGAAAUUUCCCAUGUCCAGUGAGAGAUGUAGAGUAUAAUAUCUAUAUAUUUAUGAUCAUUUUCAAAGCUUUUGCAAUAAGUUCUUUAUCACAAUCUUGCUGUCUGAAGAAAUUCAUGUCUAUAGAUAUGGACUGUUCCAUAUUCUGUACGACGAAACUCUGUUUUAUUAAUGCUUUCUUCAUGUUGUUUAUCAUCUCCUCUUUCACAUGUCCUCAUGUAGUCUUCGGCACAGCAAGUGAAGUUGAUUAUGGUGUUCACUGUAACUCAGUUGUUCAUGAAUCCAAACCAGUUGAUGAGGAGUUCAAUAUCAUGCCUUUCCCUGGACGUCAAAAUGGUUACUUCAGUGGUGGUGAUAAAGUCCUAAACAAUCCUCCUUCACGUUCCUACUCUGCACCCAAAUCGAAAACGCUCCUUUUCGAGACUCACCACGUAUUUACAACCGAAGCUGAUGAUGUCUUUAUGGUGGAAGGAAACCUGAUUUUUCAAACCUCGUUUUACUAUGAACGGAGUAUCUCCUCUGGAAGCUCACACUUUAUUAUAAGGUCAAGCGAUUCAAGCGACCGUGGGACACUGGACUUCGAUUUUCGAGGCUUCUGGUCUCGAACAACCGGGAAGCUUUGCAUGGUGGGAUCGAGUUAUGCUUACUCCAAAGAAGGUAAACUGCUUCAUCUUGCUGCUGUUCUUAAGAUUAAUAAUCUUAGGAAGUCAAGUACUAUCAGAACUUUAGUGACUGGUACCCUGGAUAGCUUGAAUUCAAUUGGUGAUCCAAAUCACUUUGAGCAAAUUUCACUGCUGAUGUUUCCCCAACUAAAUUACGCUUACACCAUGGUUUCAAAACAAUUUAGUGAAGGGUGUCCUCGGGGAACCGAUGUCCAACCGAUGUCGUCCCUCCGCUUAUCGCAAACUCGAACUAUUUGUGAUAUGUUAGGUGGAAGCAAUGCUUUCGAAUUGGAGUAUACUGGCAGUUGUAAUUCUUCAAAGAGUUGCAAUCCAUUUGGUGAUGGUAUUGGAUAUUUACCUUCAGUAAUAUCGUUGAGUAUGAUUCAGUGCUCAAACGAUAGGCAAAGCUUGAGGUUUCUGAUAGAAUUCCGGAACGACAGCUAUCAGGGAUACUAUAGCUCUCCCAAUCUCAACACUUCAUUAAUUGGAGAAGGAUCUUGGGAUGCAAAGAGUAAUCGGCUUUGUAUCAUUGCUUGCCGAAUCUAUGAUGCAUCGAGCUCCUUGGAGAAGUCUCAUGUCGGAGACUGCACGACACGGUUGAGCUUAAGAUUCCCUGCAAUCUUGUCUAUCAGAAACCCAAGCACCAUUGUAGGAGAAAUUUGGAGUGAGAAGCCUAGGAAUGAAGGUGGUUUCUUUGACAGGGUCGAGUUCCGAAAUACUGGACGUUAUGGAGGAGGAAUUCAACUUCAAGGUUUGAAGUAUGUGUACACGGAAAUGGACGAAGUGAAGAAAUCAUGUCCAAAGAAGAAUUCUAGGACUAAUAGCAGUAUGGAACACUAUCCAGAUGGCUAUUCUGGAGACAUGAGUUUUAGUAUGUCCAUCAUCAACGGUUCCAAAGGAAGCAUCGGAUGGGGUUCUUCGGAUAUUCUUGCGGUAGAUGAUCAGCAGUAUCAGAGAUUUCCAUCUCUAUUACCAUCCUCAAGCUCAAAGCCUAAAAGUUCUGGCGUUGAAUCCGAUUCCAGCAGUGGCUUGCUUAAUGUCAGCUAUAAAAUUAGCAUCCCGCCACUUAGUUUGGAAUUGGAUGGUGGCCUCAAACCGGUUAACCAAUCUUCAUAUGAAUAUCUGCAAACCAAAAUCCAAAUUUCUGCUGAAGGGGUUUAUGAUACAACAACAGGUAGCCUAUGCAUGGUUGGCUGCAGGCGUUCAAGGUUAGACGGCAAAUCAUUUUCAAGCCAUUCGAUAGAUUGCGAUAUCCUUGUGCAAGUCAACUUUCUUCCAUUGAACUCGCGCAAGAUAAAUAACAUCAAGGGAAGCAUCGAGAGCACGCGUGAAAAUACCGAUAGUCUGUACUUCAAGCCUCUGCAGAUUUUGGGAACAACUAAUUCUCGCAGUUGGGGAGCGGAAUCGAUUUGGAGAAUGGAUUUCGAGAUGAUCGUGUCGGUCGUAUCCAACACUCUUGCAAUUAUCUUUGUUGCAUUUCAAAUCUUUCAUGUGAGGAAGCACCGUGGCAUUGGUCCUAUGGUUUCACUUCUCAUGCUUGUUAUUCUAGCCCUGGGACACUUGAUCCCUUUGGUUCUAAACCUCGAAGCAACGUUCAUUCAGGAUAGCGAGCGAUCGAUCUUGAUUAGAGGUGGAAGGUGGCUCGAAAUGAAUGAGGUGAUCAUUAGAGUCGUCACAAUGGUGGCUUUUCUGCUGCAAGUCCGUCUUCUGAUGCUCUCAUGGACUGCUAGAUGCUCCACUGAAAAGAAAAAGACCUUGUGGAUUGCAGAAAAAAGGGGGCUGUAUGUGUGUGUUCCGGUGUACGUAAUCGGAGCUAUUAUCGCCUUUUCGGUUAAGUCAAGGCAGAAUGUACACGGAACAGUAAUGGCCAGGCAUUCUUGGUACGACAUAGAUGAAAUCAUUUUGGGGAAUUCAAGAGCUUAUGCUGGUUUGAUACUGGAUGCCUUUCUUUUCCCUCAAAUCAUCUUCAACAUGUUCCACAGCUCGAGAGAACUGGCUCUUUCUCGACUCUUUUACAUCGGAAUCACCCUUGUUCGCCUCGUACCCCAUGGAUAUGAUCUGUACAGGGCAAACAGCUAUGUUGAUAUAGAUGACACAUACAUUUAUGCAGAUCAUGGUGCAGAUUACUACUCAACUGCUUGGGACUUCAUUAUUAUUGUGUUGGGUAUAUUCUUUGCUGUGAUCAUACACUACCAACAGCGCCUCGGCGGUCGAUAUUUCCUUUCGAAGAGAUUCCUAGAAUCUGUGAUAGAUGAGGAACCUCCAGUGGAUUCAGAAGAACAAUUGCCAUUGAAAUAUAGCACCUAGUCCAUGCCUUGUGUUACUUCUAAGUGUUCACAACUUUUACUGUUUCCAAAUAAUUCUGUAAAUUGAUCCUUUUUCUUUUAUAGCUUAAUAAGCCUAAUGUAAUAUAAAGUUAUAAAUAAAAUUGUUUUAAAAAAUAUUUUAUUUUAGAUUAAAGUUUGGGUGAGCCUUAAAUGUGAAUAUGUACCCAAAACGAAUAAAUUUAAAAAUUAUACUUUUUUUUAUAUUUAAAUAUAAAUCCAACAUAAAUUCUUACAAAAAUUAAAAGUAAAUUUAUUGGCAUGUAGCAUAACAUUUCCUUGUAAUUUUGGUGUUUUCAGCUUUCCAUUUACCAACUUUUGACUUAGUUUACUCCUCUCUAGUGUUUGAUAAAAGCUAUUAAAAAACCUAUAAUUUAUAACCAUAGUUAAAUAUCCAAUGUAUUAAUGAUAUGUUUGGUAGGAAUAUGAAUUAGUAAUAAAUUAAUUUCAGUCGAUAAUUUAAAUAUUUAUAUGAUCGACUUGUUUGAUAUGUUUAAUAUAAACGAGGACUGUUAUGUUAAAUACUAGAUAUGAACUUUGGGGGUUAGCUGCCCCUAAAAUUUAUAAAAUUUCUUUUAAGGUCCUUUGAAUUUUCAAUUUUUUUAAUUGGAUAUUAUAAUGUAGUGUCUAAAAAGGAGGACAAAUUUGUGUUUGACUUCUUAAACUUUUUUCAAUUUUUUUAUUUGAUUUCUUUUAUAGAAUUUAUAAAUUUUUUAAUUAUAAAUUUAAUAAAUUAAUGCAAAGUAAUAUAUAAAUAUUAAUUUGUUAAUAAAGUAAUAAUUGCAACAUCUAAGUAUAAUUAUUAUCUAAAAUUAAUUAGAUGAAAAAUAAACUUAAAUAAUUAUAAUAUUUAAUAAAAAUUGAGCAUUUAGCUCUUUUUUUCUUCUAAAUUUUGGUGACUAAGAUUAUCCCGAAUGUAAAAAUCUGUUGUUGAAAGCAGGUCUUUUCCACUUUGAUCAUGUAUAUUAUAUAUAAAUAUCUCGCCCCCUUAUCAACAAUUUUAGCUUCGACCUUGUAAAUAACACUCAAAUUUCAAAAAGGCAAUGAAAGAUAGAUAUUACGAUAUCAAAGUGUUUGGUUGUUGAGAAUUGUGAUAUUUGUUACUAUUGUUAUAAUUUAUUUCGUAUGAAGUUUACAUCAGUGUUAAUUAUGAUUAUCAUCCGAAUCUGUAUCAUUAAGAUCAUCAAGAUUUUUUUUUUGGUGUACUUUUCAAAGUAUGAAUCAUUCCAAAUUCAUCUAUGAAUGAAGCUGCGAAUUAUGCAACAUGUUUGUACAAUCCAAUGAAAUAUGAAUCAUCACUUUUAUAAUAUACAAAUUAUUUUUAUGAUAAUUUUUUAUCAUAACUUAAAAAAAAUAAGUUUAAAUAAUAUAAAUUUUUAUUAUAAUUUUAUAAAAUAAAUAUAAAUUAUUUUCAGAACAUAAUUUAUUAUAAUGAUUAUGAUUUUAACCAUUACUUUUCACAACACAUUAUUCUAAACAUUAAAGGUAUGAUUUUAACCAUUACUUUCUACUACUUUCAAUUAUACAAAAAGAUUUAAGUUUAGAUCCCACACUUGACUCGAAGAUAUAAAAACCUUAAUUGGAUGAAGAGAUUGACGAUCUAGUUCGGAGGAGAGGGAUGAUUUUUAAAACUUUUUGAAUUCCUUUGCUUGAAGAUUAAUUUGGUAAUGGUGGAGGAAUAAUUUGCUUGAUGAAAAUUAUAGGGUUUGAAAAUAUUUUCUAUUUCAAAAUUUUAAAAUCUAAAAGGUAAAGGUUAAAUUAUUAGAAAUAAAAGUAUAAAAAUUAAAUUUAAAAUUUUUCAAUAGUUCAGGGACCGAUGACAUAACUUAACCCUUCUAUGAUUGGACCUUUUUAGCAAACAGCACGAAUUUUCAUCCAUCUCUUUGGUCUAGCUUUUAAGUCAAGUCAACUGUUGUAGGACCUGCCAAUAAAAUCCUUUUGUUUCGACCCAAAACCUACAAAAAAAUGACUAAACUGAGUCACAUUGACUUUGCUAUUUUUCAUAAUAAUAAUAGUAAUAACAAUAAUUCAUUAACCUAAAAAUAAUAAUAACUCAAUGGUAGUUUUGUCUUCGACGGGUCAUUGGAUCUGAUUCUAAGUCCUAUCCGAAAAUUAAAAAGGGUUUGGAUAAAAAUAUAGGCUCAAAAAAUAGACUUGGACAAAAAAAAACUCGUUUAAAAAACGGGUCAGACCUUGGGUAAGGCUUUUUGGCCCAAUCUCGGCCCUAAUUAGCAAAAAGACAAAAAAAAACUACUAUUUUCUUGUUGUUUUGAUACUAUUUUCUUAUUAUUUUCUUACUUUUUUACUAUCAUUUCACUCUUAUGUUACUACUAUUUUGUUGUUAUUAUUCGGAUAUUGUAUAACUCUUAUUUUAUUAUUAAUUUUGUUACUAUUUUAGAGACAUUUGUUUGUUAAGUUACACCUAUCUUAGUAUUAUUUAAGUAUAAAUUUAUUUUUUAAAUUUAUUUUCAAUUUUUUGAGAAUCAUUUAUUUUAAUGUUUUUUUAUAUUUUAGAUGUAUUAUAUUUUUAAUUUUUUAUAUAUAAAAAAUAAUAUAAAGAAAUUAAUUUGGGCGGAUCGAACUAGACUCGAGUUUUAGCAUUUUUAUCCAAGUUGGGCUUGAAAAAAAUUUAGGCCCAUUUUUCGGGUCAAAUCGAGCCCAAACAUAGCAAACGGGCCUAAAAUAAUAAUAAUUCAUUAUUGGAUUGAGGUAGAACAUGAGGCUUGACUCUCGGCUUGUUAAUAUAUUAUUUGGUACCCAUAUUUGAUUUCAAUGUUUGAUUUGGUAUCUGAGUUUGACUUCAAUGCUUAGUUUGAUACUUGAGUUUUUUCAUAUUAAUGCUUGAGUUUUUCUUUGUCACAUAUAAGUACCUAAAUUUUACUUCAAUGUUUAAUUUGGCACUUGAGUUUUUUCUUUUGUCCCAAUUAAGUACCUAUGAUUCUUUUACUAAGGCACACAUGUAAAAUAUUUUUUGAAGUACACGAUGUUUAGUUUGGGUGCCAAAUUAAAUAUUGAAACCAAAUAUAAGCACUAAAUGGUAUAUUAACCCUUAACUUUAUCAUAUAGGGACCUAAAUUUAACAAAAAGAAAAUUAACAGUGUUAACAAUUAGACCUAAAUUCCAAAAUUUAAAAAGUAGAAAGAGUAAGUUCCUGAAAAUAAAAAUAUAGGGACUAAAUUUUAAAUUUAUGAAUCGUACAGGAUCUACAACAUAUUUUAACCCUUUGAAAAAUCAACGAUUAGACCACUUUUAGCAAAUAGCAGGAAAUUGCAUCCAUGUGCUCUAGUUUUUAAGUCAAGUCAGCUGUUGUAGGACCUGCCGACAAUAAUAAUAAUAACCACUCGUUAUUGAUUGAGGUAGAAGACGAGGCAUGACUCUAAACUUCCUUUAAUUUUAAAGUUAAUAUAUUAUUUAGUACCUAUAUUAAAAUCCUAUAUUUAAUUUUAAUAUUCAAUUCGAUACUUAAAUUUUUUUCCUAAAUUGGUACCUGAUUUUUUGGUAUUGAUACUUGAGUUUUCUUUUUCCCAUACCAGUACUCAGGUUUGACUUUAAUGUUUAAUUUAACACCUGAAUUUUUUUUGUCCCAAUUAAGUAUCUAUGUUUUUUUACUAGGCGGACAUGUCAAAUAUUUAUUGAACCACACGAUGUCGUUUAGUUUGGGUAUCGAAUUGAACAUUGAAGCCAAACUUAGGUUUCAAAUUGAAACAAAAAAAGAUUAGGUACAAAAUUGAAAAUUCAAGCCAAAUGUAAGUACCAAAUGAUAUAUUAACCCUUAAUUUUAUCAUAUAUAUAUAUAUAUGUAAAUAUUAAUCAAAAAAAUUAAACAUUUUGGUGUUGAUUAUAUAAAUAUUCAUAUAAGACAUUCACACCAAAUGGCAUGAUUUCACCCAUAUUUCUGGUAUUGUUUAUACGUUUGAGGGUCAGUCUACAAAAAAAUACAUCAGUUUUCAAAAAUUAUUUAGUUGUUAAAUAUAAGGUUGUCUUUUGCUGUGUUCAUUUUAUAAUGUGAUUUGAUCAAAAACUUCCUUCGGAUUAAAUAUAAAAUAUUGUCAUAAUCCUCUCUUACUUUUCAAAGUCUUGCGAGGUCUUGUUCUUGGAAAUUUCCCAUGUCCAGUGAGAGAUGUAGAGUGAUAUCUAUAUAUUUACGAUCAUUUUCAAAGCUUUUGCAAUAAGUUCUUUAUCACAAUCUUGCUGUCCGAAGAAAUUCAUGUCUAUAGAUAUGGACUGUUCCAUAUUCUGUAGGACGAAACUUUGUUUUAAUGCUUUCUUCUUCUUGUUUAUCAUCUCCUCUUUCACAUGUCUUCAUGUAGUCUUCGGCACAGCAAGUGAAUUUGAUUAUGGCGUUCACUGUAACUCAGUUGUUCAUGAAUCCAAACCAGUUGAUGAGGAGUUCAAUAUCAUGCCUUUCCCUGGACGUCAAUAUGGUUACUUCAGUGGUGGUGAUAAAGUCCUAAACAAUCCUCCUUCACGUUCCUACUAUGCACCCAAAUCGAAAACUCUCCUUUUCGAGACUCACCACGUAUUUACAACCGAUGCUGAUGAUGUCUUUAUGGUGGAAGGAAACCUGAUUUUUCAAACCUCGUUUUACUAUGAACAGAGUAUCUCCUCUGGAAGCUCAUAUUUUCGUGGGACACUGGACUUCGAUUUUCGAGGCUUCUGGUCUCGAACAACCGGGAAGCUUUGCAUGGUGGGAUCGAGUUAUGCUUACUCCAAAGAAGGUAAACUGCUUCAUCUUGCUGCUGUUCUUAAGAUUAAUAAUCUUCAGAGUUCAAGUAAUAUUAGUACUUUAGUCACCGGUACCAUGGAUAGCUUGAGUUCUGCUAAUGAUCCAAAUCACUUUGAGCAAAUAUCACUGCUGAUGUUUCCUCAAGUAAAUUACGCUUACACCAUGAUUUCAAAUCAGUUUAGUAAAGGGUGUCCUCGGGGAACCGAUGUCCAACCGAUGUCAUCCCUCCGCUUAUCGCAAACUCGAACUAUUUGUGAUAUGUUAGGUGGAAGCAAUGCUUUCGAAUUGGAGUAUACUGGCAGUUGUAAUUCUUCAAAGAGUUGCAAUCCAUUUGGUGAUGGUAUUGGAUAUUUACCUUCAGUAAUAUCGUUGAGUAUGAUUCAGUGCUCAAACGAUAGGCAAAGCUUGAGGUUUCUGAUAGAAUUCCGGAACGACAGCUAUCAGGGAUACUAUAGCUCUCCCAAUCUCAACACUUCAUUAAUUGGAGAAGGAUCUUGGGAUGCAAAGAGUAAUCGGCUUUGUAUCAUUGCUUGCCGAAUCUAUGAUGCAUCGAGCUCCUUGGAGAAGUCUCAUGUCGGAGACUGCACGACACGGUUGAGCUUAAGAUUCCCUGCAAUCUUGUCUAUCAGAAACCCAAGCACCAUUGUAGGAGAAAUUUGGAGUGAGAAGCCUAGGAAUGAAGGUGGUUUCUUUGACAGGGUCGAGUUCCGAAAUACUGGACGUUAUGGAGGAGGAAUUCAACUUCAAGGUUUGAAGUAUGUGUACACGGAAAUGGACGAAGUGAAGAAAUCAUGUCCAAAGAAGAAUUCUAGGACUAAUAGCAGUAUGGAACACUAUCCAGAUGGCUAUUCUGGAGACAUGAGUUUUAGUAUGUCCAUCAUUAACGGUUCCAAAGGAAGCAUCGGAUGGGGUUCUUCGGAUAUUCUUGCGGUAGAUGAUCAGCAGUAUCAGAGAUUUCCAUCUCUAUUACCAUCCUCAAGCUCAAAGCCUAAAAGUUCUGGCGUUGAAUCCGAUUCCAGCAGUGGCUUGCUUAAUGUCAGCUAUAAAAUUAGCAUCCCGCCACUUAGUUUGGAAUUGGAUGGUGGCCUCAAACCGGUUAACCAAUCUUCAUAUGAAUAUCUGCAAACCAAAAUCCAAAUUUCUGCUGAAGGGGUUUAUGAUACAACAACAGGUAGCCUAUGCAUGGUUGGCUGCAGGCGUUCAAGGUUAGACGGCAAAUCAUUUUCAAGCCAUUCGAUAGAUUGCGAUAUCCUUGUGCAAGUCAACUUUCUUCCAUUGAACUCGCGCAAGACAAAUAACAUUAAGGGAAGCAUCGAGAGCACGCGUGAAAAAACCGAUAGUCUGUAUUUCAAGCCUCUGCAGAUUUUGGGAACAACUUAUUCUCGCAGUUGGGGAGCGGAAUCGGUUUGGAGAAUGGAUUUCGAGAUGAUCGGGUCGGUCGUAUCCAACACUCUUGCAAUUAUCUUUGUUGCAUUUCAAAUCUUUCAUGUGAGGAAGCACCGUGGCAUUGGUCCUAUGGUUUCACUUCUCAUGCUUGUUAUUCUAGCCCUGGGACACUUGAUCCCUUUGGUUCUAAACCUCGAAGCAAUGUUCAUUCAAGAUAGCGAGAGAUCGGUCUUGAUUAGAGGUGGAAAGUGGCUCGAAAUGAACGAGGUGAUAAUUAGAGUCGUCACAAUGGUGGCUUUUCUGCUGCAAGUCCGUCUUCUGAUGCUCUCAUGGACUGCUAGAUGCUCCACUGAGAAGAAAAAGACCUUGUGGAUUGCAGAGAAAAGGGGGCUGUAUGUGUGUGCUCCGGUGUACGUAAUCGGAGCUAUUAUCGCCUUUUCGGUUAAGUCAAGGCAGAAUGUACACAGAACAGUAAUGGCCAGGCAUUCUUGGUACGACAUAGAUGAAAUCAUUUUGGGGAAUUCAAGAGCUUAUGCUGGUUUGAUACUGGAUGCCUUUCUUUUCCCUCAAAUCAUCUUCAACAUGUUCCACAACUCGAGAGAACUGGCUCUUUCUCGACUCUUUUACAUCGGAAUCACCCUUGUUCGCCUCGUACCCCAUGGAUAUGAUCUUUACAGGGCAAACAGCUAUGUUGAUAUAGAUGACACAUACAUUUAUGCAGAUCAUGGUGCAGAUUACUACUCAACUGCUUGGGACUUCAUUAUUAUUGUGUUGGGUAUAUUCUUUGCUGUGAUCAUACACUACCAACAGCGCCUCGGCGGUCGAUAUUUCCUUUCGAAGAGAUUCCUAGAAUCUGUGAUAGAUGAGGAACCUCCAGUGGAUUCAGAAGAACAAUUGCCAUUGAAAUAUAGCACCUAGUCCAUGCCUUGUGUUACUUCUAAGUGUUCACAACUUUUACUGUUUCCAAAUAAUUCUGUAAAUUGAUCCUUUUUCUUUUAUAGCUUAAUAAGCCUAAUGUAAUAUAAAGUUAUAAAUAAAAUUGUUUUAAAAAAUAUUUUAUUUUAAAUUUUUAUUUUAGAUUAAAGUUUGGGUGAGCCUUAAAUGCGAAUAUGUACCCAAAAUGAAUAAAUUUAAAAAUUAUACUCUUUUUUUUAUAUUUAAAUAUAAAUCCAACAUAAAUUCUUACAAAAUUAAAAGUAAAUGUUUAUAUAAAUCUUUAUACAAAUUUAUUGGCAUGUAGCAUAACAUUUCCUUGUAAUUUUGGUGUUUUCAGCUUUCCAUUUACCAACUUUUGACUUAGUUUACUCCUCUCUGGUGUUUGAUAAAAGCUAUUAAAACCUAUAAUUUAUAACCAUACUUAAAUAUCCAAUGCAUUAAUGAUAUGUUUGGUAUGAAUAUGAAUUAGUGAUAAAUUAAUUUCAAUCGAUAAUUUAAAUAUUUAUAUGAUCGACUUGUUUGAUAUGUUUAAUAUAAACGAGUACUGUUAUGUUAAAUACUAGAUAUGAACUUUGGGGGUUAGCUGCCCCUAAAAUUUAUAAAAUUUCUUUUAAGGUCCUUUGAAUUUUCAAUUUUUUUUAAUUUGAUAUUAUAAUGUAGUGUCUAAAAUAAGGACAAAUUUGUGUUUGACUUCUUAAACUUUUUUCAAAAUUUUUUUAUUUGAUUUCUUUUAUAGAAUUUAUAAAUUUUUAAUUAUAAAUUUAAUAAAUUAAUACAAAAUAAUAUAUAAAUAUUAAUUUGGUAAUAAAGUAAUAAUUGCAACAUCUAAGUAUAAAUAUUAUCUAAAAUUAAUUAGAUGAAAAAUAAACUUAAAUAAUUAUAAUAUUUAAUAAAAAUUGAGCAUUUAACUCUUUUUUUUCUUCUAAAUUUUGGUGACUAAGAUUAUCCCGAAUGUAAAAAUCCGUUGUUGAAAGUAGGUCUUUUCCACUUUGAUCAUGUAUAUUAUAUAUAAAUAUCUUGCCCCCUUAUCAACAAUUUUAGCUUCGACCUUGUAAAUAACACUCAAAUUUCAAAAAGGCAAUGAAAGAUAAAUAUUGCUAUAUCAAAGUGUUUGAGAGUUGUGAUAUUUGUUGCUAUUGUUAUAAUGUAUUUCGUAUGAAGUUUACAUCAGUGUUAAUUAUGAUCAUCAUCCGAAUCUAUAUCAUUAAGAUCAUCGAGAUUUUUUUUUGUGUACUUUUCAAAGUAUGAAUCAUUUCAAAUUCAUCUAUGAAUGAAGUUACGAAUUAUGCAACAUAUUUGUACAAUCCAAUGAAAUAUGAAUCAUCACUUUUACGACAUACAAAUUAUUUUUAUAAUAAUUUUUUUAUCAUAACUUAAAAAAAAUAAGAUUUAAAUAAUAUAAAUUUUUUAUUAUAACUUUAUAAAAUAAAUAUAAAUUAUUUUUAUAACAUAAUUUAUUAUAAUGAUUAUGAUUUUAACCAUUGCUUUCUACUACUUUCAAUUAUAAAAAAAUAUUUAAGUUUAGAUCCCACACCUGAUUCGAAGACAUAAAAACCUUAAUUGGAUGAAGAGAUUGACGAUCUACUCGGGAGGAGAGGAAUGAUUUUUAUAACUUUUUGAAUUCCUUUGCUUGAAGAUUGAUUUGGUAAUGGUGGAGGAAAUACUUUGCAUGGUUUGAAAAUAUUUCCUAUUUCAAAAUUUUGAAAUCUAAAAGGUAAAGGUUAAAUUAUUGGAAAUAAAAGUAUAAGAACUAAAUUUAAAAUUUUUCAAUAGUGCAGGGACCGAUGACAUAACUUAACCCUUCAAUGAUUGGACCAUUUUAGCAAAUAGCACGAAUUUUCAUCCAUCUAGUCUAGCUUUUAAGUCAAGUCAACAGUUGUAGGACCUGCCAAUAAAAUCCCUUUGUUUCGACCCAAAACCUACAAAAAAAUGACUAAACUGAUUCACAUCGACUUUGCUAUUUUUCGUAAUAAUAAUAAUAAUAAUAAUAAUAAUAAUAACAAUAAUAGUUCGUUAACCCAAAAAUAAUAAUAAAUCUGUCAUGGCCGGGUCAUUCAACCAGAUCUGAAAUUCCGUCCGAAAAUUGAGAGAGUUUAGAUAAAAAUAUAAGUUUCAAAAACUAGACUUGGGUAAAAAAAAAAGAAUCGUUUAAAAAUCGGGUCAGACCUUGGGUAAGCCUUUUAGGCCCAAUCUCGACCCUAAUUAGCAAAAAGACAAAAAAAGAAGAAGCUAUUUUCUUGCUGUUUUGCUACUAUUUUCUUAUUAUUUUCUUACUUUUUUACUAUCAUUUCACUAUUAUGUUACUACUAUUUUGUUGUUAUUAUUUGGAUAUUAUAUAACUCUUAUUUUAUUAUUAAUUUUGUUACUAUUUUAGAGGCAUUUGCUUAUUAAGUUACACCUAUUUUAAUAUUAUUUAAGUAUAAAUAUAAUAAUAAUUCAUUAUUAGUAUUAUUUAAGUAUAAAUCGAGCCCAAACAUAGCAAACGGGUCUAAAAUAAUUAUAAUUCAUUAUUGGAUUGAGGUAGAACACGAGGCUUGACUCUCAACUUGUUAAAAUAUAUUUUUUGGUACCCAUAUUUGAUUUCAAUUUUAAAUUUAGUAUCUAAGUUUGACUUCAAUGUUUAGUUUGAAACUUGAGUUUUUUCAUAUUAAUGCUUGAGUUUUUUUUUGUCACAUAUAAGUACCUAAGUUUUACUUUAAUGUUUAAUUUGGCACUUGAGUUUUUUUCUUUUGUCCCAAUUAAGUACCGAUGAUUCUUUUACUAAGGCACUCAUGUAAAAUAUUUAUUGAAGUACAUGAUGUUGUUUAGUUUAGGUACCAAAUUAAACAUUGAAACCAAAUAUAAGCACUAAAUGAUAUAUUAACCCUUAACUUUAUCAUAUAGGGACCUAAAUUUAACAAAAAAAAUUAACUGUGUUAGCAAUUAGACCUCAAUUCUAAAAUUUGAAAAGUGGAAAAAGUAAGUUCCUGAAAAUAAAAAUAUAGGACUAAAUUUUAAAUUUAUGAAUAGUACAGGACCUACAACAUAUUUUAACCCUUUGAAAAAUCAACGAUUGGACCACUUUUAGCAAAUAGCAGGAAAUUGCAUCCAUGUGGUCUAGUUUUUAAGUCAAGUCAGCUGUUGUAGGACCUGCCGACAAUAAUAAUAAUAACCACUCGUUAUUGGAUUGAGGUAGAAGACGAGGCAUGACUCUAAACUUCCUUUAAUUUUAAAGUUAAUAUAUUAUUUAGUACCUAUAUUUAAUUUUAACGUUCAAUUCGAUAUUUAAAUUUUUUUUCUUAAAUUGGUACCUGAUUUUUUUUUUGUAUUGAUACUUGAGUUUUCUUUGCCCCAUACUAGUAUUUAGGUUUGACUUCAAUAUUCAAUUUAACACGUAAGUUUUUCUUUUGUCCCAACUAAAUACCUAUGUUUUUUUUACUAGGGCGAACAUGUCAAAUAUUUAUUGAACCAUAUGAUGUCGUUUAGUUUGGGUACCGAAUUGAACAUUAAAGCCAAACUUAGGUUCCAAAUUAAAAAAAAAGAUUAGGUACCAAAUUGAAAAUUCAAGCCAAAUGUAAGUACCAAAUGAUAUAUUAACCCUUAAUUUUGUCAUAUAUAUAUAUAUAUAUAUUAUGGAGUCUACAAAAAAAUACAUCAGUUUUCAAAAAUUAUUUAGUGGUUAAAUAUAAGGUUGUCUUUUGUUGUGUUCAUUUUAUAAUGUUAUUUGAUCAAAAACUUCCUUCGGAUUAAAUGUAAAAUAUUGGCAUAAUCCUCUCUUACUUUUCAAAGUCUUGCAAGGCCUUGUUCUUGGAAAUUUCCCAUGUCCAGUGAGAGAUGUAGAGUGAUAUCUAUAUAUUUACGAUCAUUUUCAAAGCUUUUGCAAUAAGUUCUUUAUCACAAUCUUGCUGUCCGAAGAAAUUCCUGUCUAUAGAUAUGGACUGUUCCAUAUUCUGUAGGACGAAACUUUGUUUUAAUGCUUUCUUCUUCUUGUUUAUCAUCUCCUCUUUCACAUGUCUUCAUGUAGUCUUCGGCACAGCAAGUGAAUUUGAUUAUGGCGUUCACUGUAACUCAGUUGUUCAUGAAUCCAAACCAGUUGAUGAGGAGUUCAAUAUCAUGCCUUUCCCUGGACGUCAAAAUGGUUACUUCAGUGGUGGUGAUAAAGUCCUAAACAAUCCUCCUUCACGUUCCUACUCUCCACCGGAAUCUAAAACGUUCCUUUUCGAAACUCACCACGUAUAUACAACCGAUGCUGAUGAUGUCUUUAUGGUGGAAGGAAACCUGAUUUUUCAAACCUCGUUUUACUAUGAACAGAGUAUCUCCUCUGGAAGCUCAUACGUUAUAAGUUCAAGCGAUUCAAGCGACCGUGGGACACUGGACUUUGAUUUUCGAGGCUUCUGGUCUCGAACAACCGGGAAGCUUUGCAUGGUGGGA
rnacentral:lncRNA from 1 species